rnacentral:rRNA from 1 species
ACUUGGAGAUGUAUAGCAAUUGCUAAUUGUACUAAAAUUAGUAUAAUAUCGAUUUACUCGAAUAAAGUUCUGGGUAAUAUUAUGAUAAUGACAUUAAUUACUUAUAAGUCUUGACUAAAUUACGUGCCAGCAGUCGCGGUAAUACGUAGAAGACAAGUGUUAUUCAUCUUUAAUAGGUUUAAAGGGUACCUAGACGGUAAAUGAAGCCUAAGCAGGAACUGAUUUACUAGAGUUACUUGUGAGGGAGUUUUAAUGUACAAGAGGUGAAGAGAUAAAAUUCAGUCAUACCUUUUUUCGAAAGAAAAGUUUCGGCACAGGUUUUGGUGAAAACAUCUCCUUAUGGGAUAACUGACGUUGAGGGACGAAGGCUUUUUAUCGCGAACAGGAUUAGAUACCCUGGUAGUCAAAGCAGAAAAUGAUGAGUGUCAUAGAUUAGAAAAAUGUUUAUUCUAUAAAUGAAAAUGUAAUCACUCCACCUCAAGAGUAAUUUGGCAACAUUGGAACUGAAAUCAUUAGACCGUUUCUGAAACCAGUAGUGAAGUAUGUUGUUUAAUUUGAUAAUCCACAAAGAACCUUACCACAACUUGAAUGUUUAUUAUUAUAUAAAUACAAGCGUUGCACGGCUGUCUUCAGUUAAUGUCGUGAGACUAUGGUUAGCUCCAUUAAAUUAAUGUAAACCCUUAUUUUAUUUUUAAAUAAAAUAGUUCUCCAACAUAUUGGAUAAGAUAACAGGGACUAAGACAAGUCAUCAUGGCCUAAAUGUUGUGGGC